rnacentral:rRNA from 1 species
UGAGGAAUAUUGGUCAAUGGGCGCGAGCCUGAACCAGCCAAGUAGCGUGAAGGAUGAAGGUCCUAUGGACUGUAAACUUCUUUUAUAGCAGAAUAAAGUGACCCACGUGUGGGUUUUUGUAUGUCUGCUAUGAAUAAGGAUCGGCUAACUCCGUGCCAGCAGCCGCGGUAAUACGGAGGAUCCGAGCGUUAUCCGGAUUUAUUGGGUUUAAAGGGUGCGUAGGCGGAAAGAUAAGUCAGCCUGUGAAAGUUUGCGGCUCAACCGUAAAAUUGCAGUUGAUACUGGUUUUCUUGAGUGUACAUAAGGUAGGCGGAAUUCGUGGUGUAGCGGCGAAAUGCUUAGAUAUCACGAAGAACUCCGAUUGCGAAGGCAGCUUACCGGGGUACAACUGACGCUGAUGCACGAAAGUGUGGGUAUCAAACA